AUCCGUUCUCUCCCGUGGGUUGUCGCACUUCAAAAGCCACGCUGGCUGGUGAGAAAAUCUCCUUGGGACGAAACAGCAGGAACGGGUUUAUUUUUCAUGGCGCGUGUAUACUGGGCGUGUGUGUGUGUAGUUCAUUUUCAGUUGAAGCAUCAAUCCACGAAGGGUUAGGAAAGACACGCAUCACCCCCAUACAAAUGUGCACUUGUCUGGGUUCAAGAAAAGGGCGAAUGACCUCUGUUCUCGUUUCCUUUUUCGGAUAAGCUUCGUUUUGGAUGGGUUUGGAGACACACUCCAUCUGCAGCACACGUUUCUAUCACGGCGGGACUGCUUCAAAAGAAGUGAUGUAAGGAUUGCUCCAAACCCAUCCAGUGCGAAUUUCCUUCCAAAACUAUUGCUUCUUAGAACCCAGAAUGUUCCUUUUCCGUUGCGAUCACAGCCUUGGGACGAGCGGUGGGGGCGAUGCUGAGGAGGACGCUGGUAGAAGUACCAAGAUUUCCACAUACACUUUUAAAGGAGUUUAGGGUUUUUUAAAAUCAAAGAGGCAUUCCUUAUGGUUUCCAAUCUGUGGUCAAAAUGAUGAUAACCCAGCAGAAUGAUAUAAGGAUGUUGGUGUACCAAAAACAACAACAGGCACUUAUUGUGGAACAAGAUUCCAGAGAGUCUAAUCUAGAGAAAAUUUAUGCCAGCAUGAAUGUGUGGAUCUCUAAGAAAUGUUCCAGGUUUGCAACCAUUAUAUUGUUUGAAGAGGACUUUCUAACAUGAUAUGUGUCACAUCUUCCAAGGUUAGUUUAUGAAAGUUUUUGUAUAUGUGUUAAAGUGGUAAUCUCU
rnacentral:lncRNA from 1 species